GGAGAUUAGCAAUAGAUGGCGCGUAAUUGUUGUGUGUCUCCUAAUGGCGGUUUGUUGUCAUGAAAACGGUUCGCUGUUUUCAUUCAAUUUGCAGAAAUAUCGUAGGUAAAUUUAAGAUAAUGUUAACAUUUUAUCGGCGAUGCCUUUUAUUUCAUUGAUGUGUUGGCCAUAAUCUUCAUAUUUUUCACUGUACCUUUGUAUGAGAGUGAAUGUAAAGAAACAGGAAACUCAAAAGUCUCAACUCUCUGUUUGCCGAAUUUGCUCAUGGUCUGCUUAGCAAUAUUUUUCAAGAGAUGCAGGUUCAACAUGAUUAUCUGUUUAUUAUUGAAGAUUUAUCGAUAAACAUGAUGUUGAUAACUAUUGUCGUGUAGCAUGUUUCUAAUGCCAUUAAACAGGCAGAUGGACCAGCAUUAUUCUUAAGUUUUCCAAAAAUUCACUAGUCAGCAUCAUCAUGUGGACUGGACAUACUGGAUGAUCAGGACUAGAAAUCUUCACAUUCUUAAAAAACCUGAUGAGCAUCACCAAAAAAGAGACUUGGUUGUUGAUCUGACUUUUCCUAUUCGUCCUUGAAGCGAAAAAUCGAGCAAAAAAAAGCGAAAAAAACAAACAAACACACAUUUAACGCUCUAUUCAUCCCCGUCUGAAUGAUCGGUAAAACUGAUCGGUAA